rnacentral:lncRNA from 1 species
AUGGUGCUGCCUCCGCUGCAGCUCGAGGCCCACCUCCGCGGCCACAGCCUGGAGCCUGCGGCACCCAGCCCCCGCCUGCGACCUGAGGACGGCUUGGAGCCUCCUGGUGCCAUGCAGGAAUUGCUUGGGGCCCUGGAGCCGCUGCCCCCAGGGCCUGGUGAUAGUGUGGGCCCCCCUAACUCAGAGGGCAAAGAUCCUGCCGGAUCCUACCGAAGCCCCAGCCCACAGGGCACCAAGGCUCCGCGCUUCGUGCCACUCACCUCCAUCUGCUUCCCUGACUCCUUGCUCCAGGACGAGGAGCGAAGCUUCUUCCCUACCAUGGAAGAGAUGUUUGGUGGAGGGGCAGCAGAUGAUUAUGGCAAGACUGGGCCACCCGAGGACGAGGAGGAUCCCAAGGCAGUUGGGCCACCUCCGGGGCCCCCUGCCUACGACCCCUAUGGGCCCUACUGCCCUGGUCGGGCGUCUGGAGCUGGGCCUGAGACACCAGGCCUGGGCCUGGAUCCCAACAAGCCGCCCGAGCUGCCCUCCACCGUCAACGCUGAGCCGCUGGGCCUGAUCCAGAGCGGGCCACAUCAGGCGGCUCCACCUCCACCACCACCUCCACCACCACCUCCCCCAUCCGCCUCGGAGCCCAAGGGUGGCCUCACCUCACCCAUCUUCUGCUCAACCAAGCCAAAGAAGCUGCUCAAGACGUCCUCCUUUCACCUGCUGCGGCGCCGAGACCCACCCUUCCAGACUCCCAAGAAGCUGUAUGCCCAGGAGUAUGAGUUCGAGGCCGACGAAGACAAGGCCGACGUCCCUGCUGACAUCCGCCUCAACCCCCGGCGCCUGCCUGACCUGGUGUCCAGCUGCCGCUCCCGGCCGGCCCUUUCGCCCCUGGGUGACAUUGACUUCUGUCCGCCCAAUCCAGGCCCCGAUGGCCCCCGGCGCCGAGGCCGCAAGCCCACCAAGGCCAAGCGUGAGGGUCCUCCCCGCCCACGGGGCAGGCCCCGAAUCCGCCCCCUGGAGGUGCCCACCGCCACAGGGCCUGCCUUGACUGCCACUGCUGAUGGGCCCAAGAAACCUCGGGGCCGGGGCAGGGGCAGGGGCAGGAAGGCAGAGGAGGCAGGAGGCACCCGGUUGGAGCCCCUGAAGCCACUGAAGAUCAAGCUGUCUGUGCCCAAGCCAGGUGAGGGUCUGGGAGCCUCGUCAGGUGAUGCCAUAUCAGGCCCCGACCACAACAGCCUAGACUCCAGCCUGACUCGGGAGAAGAUUGAGGCCAAGAUCAAGGAGGUAGAAGAGAAGCAGCCGGAGAUGAAGUCAGGCUUCAUGGCUUCCUUCCUGGACUUCCUCAAGUCAGGCAAGCGCCACCCACCACUCUAUCAGGCGGGCUUGACGCCGCCGCUCAGUCCGCCCAAGAGCGUGCCAUCCUCUGUGCCAGCCCGAGGCUUGCAGCCCCAGGCACCCGCUGCUCCUGCAGUGCCGCAUCCUCCACCUGAGGGCGCCUUUGGGCUGGGGGGUGCCCUGGAGGCCGCUGAGAGUGAGGGGCUGGGGCUGGGCUGCCCUUCGCCCUGCAAGCGGCUGGACGAGGAGCUGAAGCGGAACCUUGAGACUCUGCCCUCUUUCUCCUCGGAUGAGGAAGACUCUGUGGCCAAGAACCGGGACCUGCAGGAGAGCAUCUCGUCUGCCAUCUCUGCCCUGGAUGACCCACCUCUCACUGGGCCUAAGGAUACUUCCACCCCGGAGGGGCCACCUUUGGCCACAGCAGCGACAGUCACGGGGCCACCCCCUCUCCCAGGGCUCCCCAGUGCCAACAGCAAUGGCACGCCCGGUGAGCUCCAAGAAGAUGGUCUGGGGUGAGGCAAGGGAUCGGGUUAUUAGGGUCACCUGGGUCCAGUUUUGGAGGUGGUGCACUAAGGGGUUUCAGUCACCUGGUAGCUGAUGUAGCCAGGCACAGUUGCAAAGGUAAUUUACUGUUUGAGGGCAAACUUUUUUUUUUUUUUGAGGGCAAACAUAUUUUAAAGAAGGAACAUCUUGUUCUGAUUGGCUCAGAGAUGCUCUGUGGACCAGCAGGGGCCCAGGCAGGGCCUAGUGAAUGCUGGAGCCAGGGUCGGUUACAGGUGGUGGGGACAGGUGACAGAGUACCCAGGGCGUUGAAAUGCUGGCGGGUGUGGGGGCUGGGAAGGGUUCCGAGACACCAGACCUGAGUGCUCAGGGGCAAAGCCAAAUGUAAGUAGAGUGACAGAUUUGGUGGCAGGUAAGAGGGAAAGGCUGGCCACAAGACAGUCCGAAGGGCUUUUUGGCGGUGCUAGGGAUUGAACCCAGGCCUCUCACACUAAGCUACAUCUCUAGACUUGUAUUUAUUUAUUUUCCAGUGCUGGGGAUUGAACUCAGGACCUGUGUUUGUGAGGCAGGUGUCGCGCCACUGAGCUAAAUCCCCGGGCCCUAUUUAUUUUUAUUUAUUUAUUUUGUGGUACCAGGGAUUGCACUCAGGUCCUUGCGCUUGUGGGUCAGGUGACGGAACCACUGAGCUAAAUCCCCGGCCUCCCUAUUUAUUUUUUAUUUUGGGAGGUCCAGGUUUCCUACAAGGUCUACAUUGCCGAGCUUAGGCUCAAAUCUUUGCUCCUCCUGCCUCAGCCUCCCUAAGUGCUGGGGUUGGGGUUUUAUCUUGAGGCAGGCUUUGGGCAGAAUUCAAGAGGCUUUCAUGGGAGUGGAGGCAGUGGAGGAGGACAUUUGUCGGUAAAGAGGGCUUGAGGGCUCUGGAGGGUCUUGGGGUGCAGCAAGGGGCAAUGCUAUUGUAACAGAGGUGAUGGGAGAGAUGGGAACAGAGCCAAGGUCAGCACUGUCUGGAGGGAAUGGCAAUGGUGGCACAGCCCUGGGAGGGCUGGGGACACCUUGAGGAAGGAGCAGUUUUAAGGGGUCAGGGAGAUUUCAGUAAUUAGAGAGGUACGUUAAAAUUUUUUUUUUUUUUUUUUUUUGGUACCGGGGAUCGAACUCAGGUCUUUGCGCUUGUGAGGCAGACAGCGGAACCACUGAGCUAAAUCCCUGGCCCCCCAAUUUUUUUUUUAAAGAUACCUCUAGAAGGGAGUUGGUAGACGGGCAUGCAGGGACAGUCUGGGCAUGGGGAGCAGGCCAGGAAGGACCGGGAAGGCUUGCUGAGGGACAGGGUGCCCAGGAGGAAGUGAGACGUGGGACAAAUGGCCUAGGAGUUUGGGGGGACAGGACAUGGGGAACAGAGGUUAAGCACCAGACCAGGGCUUUUUGGGGCUCCGACAUGAUUCAGGACUGAAGAGGGUGUCCAGAUGUUGGGUGUGGUGGAGCACACUUGUAAUCCACCACUUUGGAAGGCUGAGGCGGGAGGAUUGCUUUGAGUUCCAGGCCAGCCUGAAGUGAACUACAUAGUCAGACCGUCUCAAAAAGGAAUAGGGUAGGUGUGUGGGGGUUAGGGAUGCCACCAUGGUUUUAGGGGUUCCAUGUAGCUAACAGAGCUGGGAAGGACUCCCCUGGAGGGGCUUGAGUGUGGCAGAGGGCUACCGGGCUGACGGGUCAGAGGGCAAUUGGUGCAGGAAAAGGUGUUUGAGGGCAACAGGAGGUGGUCGGGGAUGGCGAGUGACACCCAGACCUGAUGGCCCUCUGUCUCCCAGAGCCCCCGCUGCUGGAGGAGAAACCCCCACCCUCCCCACCUCCUGCCCCGACGCCGACGCCUCCACCUCCCCCUCUGCCAGCGCCAGUGCCAGCGCCAGUCCUGCCCGAUCCGCCCCCACUGGUUGCCCCUGUGCCUAGC